GUUGUAUGGUUAAGUGACUAAGCGUACACGGUGGAUGCCUUGGCAGUCAGAGGCGAUGAAAGACGUAGUAACUUGCGAUAAGCCCAGAUUAGGUAGUAACAACCAUUUGAGUCUGGGAUUUCUGAAUGGGGAAACCCACUUACAUAAGUAAGUAUCAUUAAUUGAAUACAUAGGUUAAUGAGGCGAACCGGGGGAACUGAAACAUCUAAGUACCCCGAGGAAAAGAAAUCAACCGAGAUUCCGAAAGUAGCGGCGAGCGAAAUUGGACUAGCCCUUAAGCUUUACACGCGUUAGACGAACGGUCUGGAAAGUCCGACGAUACAGGGUGAUAGUCCCGUAGUUGACGACGUGUGUUCAGUGAAAUCGAGUAGGGCGGGACACGUGAUAUCCUGUCUGAAUAUGGGGGGACCAUCCUCCAAGGCUAAAUACUACUGACUGACCGAUAGUGAACCAGUACCGUGAGGGAAAGGCGAAAAGAACCCCUGUGAGGGGAGUGAAAUAGAACCUGAAACCGUGUACGUACAAGCAGUAGGAGCAGGCUUUGUCCUGUGACUGCGUACCUUUUGUAUAAUGGGUCAGCGACUUAUAUUCAGUGGCAAGGUUAACCAUCUAGGGGAGCCGUAGGGAAACCGAGUCUUAACUGGGCGUUCAGUCUCUGGAUAUAGACCCGAAACCAGGUGAUCUAGCCAUGGGCAGGUUGAAGGUUGAGUAACAUCAACUGGAGGACCGAACCGACUAAUGUUGAAAAAUUAGCGGAUGACUUGUGGCUAGGGGUGAAAGGCCAAUCAAACCUGGAGAUAGCUGGUUCUCCCCGAAAGCUAUUUAGGUAGCGCCUCGGACGAAUACUACUGGGGGUAGAGCACUGUUAAGGCUAGGGGGUCAUCCCGACUUACCAACCCUUUGCAAACUCCGAAUACCAGUAAGUACUAUCCGGGAGACACACGGCGGGUGCUAACGUCCGUCGUGGAGAGGGAAACAACCCAGACCGCCAGCUAAGGUCCCAAAUUACUACUAAGUGGGAAACGAUGUGGGAAGGCUCAGACAGCCAGGAUGUUGGCUUAGAAGCAGCCAUCAUUUAAAGAAAGCGUAAUAGCUCACUGGUCGAGUCGGCCUGCGCGGAAGAUGUAACGGGGCUAAGUAGUAAACCGAAGCUGCGGCAAUGUGCUUUUGCACAUUGGGUAGGGGAGCGUUCUGUAAGCGGUUGAAGGUGUGUGGUAACGCAUGCUGGACGUAUCAGAAGUGCGAAUGCUGACAUGAGUAACGAUAAAGGGGGUGAAAAACCUCCUCGCCGGAAGACCAAGGGUUCCUGUCCAACGUUAAUCGGGGCAGGGUAAGUCGACCCCUAAGGCGAGGCCGAAAGGCGUAGUCGAUGGGAAACGGGUUAAUAUUCCCGUACUUCUUACAAUUGCGAUGGGGGGACGGAGAAGGCUAGGUGGGCCUGGCGACGGUUGUCCAGGUUCAAGUGCGUAGGCUUAAGAGUUAGGUAAAUCCGGCUCUUUUUAAGGCUGAGACACGACGUCGAGCACCUACGGGUGUGAAGUCAUUGAUGCCAUGCUUCCAGGAAAAGCCUCUAAGCUUCAGAUUGUAAGGAAUCGUACCCCAAACCGACACAGGUGGUCGGGUAGAGAAUACCAAGGCGCUUGAGAGAACUCGGGUGAAGGAACUAGGCAAAAUGGUACCGUAACUUCGGGAGAAGGUACGCUCUCGACGGUGAAGUCCCUCGCGGAUGGAGCUAUUGAGAGUCGCAGAUACCAGGUGGCUGCAACUGUUUAUUAAAAACACAGCACUGUGCAAAAUCGUAAGAUGACGUAUACGGUGUGACGCCUGCCCGGUGCCGGAAGGUUAAUUGAUGGGGUUAGACUUCGGUCGAAGCUCUUGAUCGAAGCCCCGGUAAACGGCGGCCGUAACUAUAACGGUCCUAAGGUAGCGAAAUUCCUUGUCGGGUAAGUUCCGACCUGCACGAAUGGCGUAAUGAUGGCCACGCUGUCUCCACCCGAGACUCAGUGAAAUUGAAAUCGCUGUGAAGAUGCAGUGUACCCGCGGCUAGACGGAAAGACCCCGUGAACCUUUACUACAGCUUGGCACUGAACAUUGACCCUACAUGUGUAGGAUAGGUGGGAGGCUUUGAAGCACGUACGCCAGUAUGUGUGGAGCCGUCCUUGAAAUACCACCCUUGUAGUGUUGAUGUUCUAACGUUGACCCCUUAUCGGGGUUGCGGACAGUGCCUGGUGGGUAGUUUGACUGGGGCGGUCUCCUCCCAAAGAGUAACGGAGGAGCACGAAGGUGGGCUAAUCACGGUUGGACAUCGUGAGGUUAGUGCAAUGGCAUAAGCCCGCUUGACUGCGAGAAUGACAAUUCGAGCAGGUGCGAAAGCAGGUCAUAGUGAUCCGGUGGUUCUGAAUGGAAGGGCCAUCGCUCAACGGAUAAAAGGUACUCCGGGGAUAACAGGCUGAUACCGCCCAAGAGUUCAUAUCGACGGCGGUGUUUGGCACCUCGAUGUCGGCUCAUCACAUCCUGGGGCUGAAGUCGGUCCCAAGGGUAUGGCUGUUCGCCAUUUAAAGUGGUACGCGAGCUGGGUUUAGAACGUCGUGAGACAGUUCGGUCCCUAUCUGCCGUGGGCGUUGGAAGAUUGAAGGGGGCUGCUCCUAGUACGAGAGGACCGGAGUGGACGAACCUCUGGUGUUCGGGUUGUGUCGCCAGACGCAUUGCCCGGUAGCUAAGUUCGGAAUCGAUAACCGCUGAAAGCAUCUAAGCGGGAAGCGAGCCCUGAGAUGAGUCUUCCCUGAUACUUUAAGUAUCCUAAAGGGUUGUCGGAGACUACGACGUUGAUAGGUCAGGUGUGUAAGUGCUGUGAGGCAUUGAGCUAACUGAUACUAAUUGCCCGUGAGGCUUAACCAUACAACACCCA
rnacentral:rRNA from 1 species